UGCCCUGGCAGUCAGAGGCGAUGAAGGACGUGCUAAUCUGCGAUAAGCGCCGGUAAGGUGAUAUGAACCGUUAUAACCGGCGAUUUCCGAAUGGGGAAACCCAGUGUGAUUCGUCACACUAUCAUUAACUGAAUCCAUAGGUUAAUGAGGCGAACCGGGGGAACUGAAACAUCUAAGUACCCCGAGGAAAAGAAAUCAACCGAGAUUCCCCCAGUAGCGGCGAGCGAACGGGGAGGAGCCCAGAGCCUGAAUCAGCAUGUGUGUUAGUGGAAGCGUCUGGAAAGGCGCGCGAUACAGGGUGACAGCCCCGUACACAAAAGCGCAUGUGCUGUGAGCUCGAUGAGUAGGGCGGGACACGUGGUAUCCUGUCUGAAUAUGGGGGGACCAUCCUCCAAGGCUAAAUACUCCUGACUGACCGAUAGUGAACCAGUACCGUGAGGGAAAGGCGAAAAGAACCCCGGCGAGGGGAGUGAAAAAGAACCUGAAACCGUGUACGUACAAGCAGUGGGAGCACCCUUCGGGGUGUGACUGCGUACCUUUUGUAUAAUGGGUCAGCGACUUAUAUUCUGUAGCAAGGUUAACCGUAUAGGGGAGCCGCAGGGAAACCGAGUCUUAAU
rnacentral:rRNA from 1 species